rnacentral:rRNA from 1 species
CCUACGGGUGGCUGCAGUGAGGAAUAUUGGUCAAUGGACGAGAGUCUGAACCAGCCAAGUAGCGUGAAGGAUGACUGCCCUAUGGGUUGUAAACUUCUUUUAUAUGGGAAUAAAACGUUCCACGUGUGGGAUUUUGUAUGUACCAUAUGAAUAAGGAUCGGCUAACUCCGUGCCAGCAGCCGCGGUAAUACGGAGGAUCCGAGCGUUAUCCGGAUUUAUUGGGUUUAAAGGGAGCGUAGGUGGAUUGUUAAGUGAGUUGUGAAAGUUUGGGGAUCAACCGUAACAUUGCAGUUUAAACUGGCAGGCUUGAGUACAGUGAAGGUGGGCGGAAUUCGUGGUGUAGCGGUGAAAUGCUUAGAUAUCACGAAGAACUCCGAUUGCGAAGGCAGCUCACUGGAGUGCAACUGACACUGAGGCUCGAAAGUGUGGGUAUCAAACAGGAUUAGAUACCCUUGUAGUC